AUUGAACGCUGGUGGCAGGCCUAACACAUGCAAGUCGAACGGUAACAGGAAACAGCUUGCUGCUUCGCUGACGAGUGGCGACCGGGUGAGUAAUGUCUGGGAAACUGCCUGAUGGAGGGGGAUAACUACUGGAAACGGUGGCUAAUACAGCAUAACGUCGCAAGACCAAAGAGGGGGACCUUCGGGCCUCUUGCCAUCAGAUGUGCCCAGAUGGGAUUAGCUUGUUGGUGAGGUAACGGCUCACCAAGGCGACGAUCCCUAGCUGGUCUGAGAGGAUGACCAGCCACACUGGAACUGAGACACGGUCCAGACUCCUACGGGAGGCAGCAGUGGGGAAUAUUGCACAAUGGGCGCAAGCCUGAUGCAGCCAUGCCGCGUGUAUGAAGAAGGCCUUCGGGUUGUAAAGUACUUUCAGCGGGGAGCAAGGUGUUGUGGUUAAUAACCGCAGCAAUUGAAGUUACCCGCAGAAGAAGCACCGGCUAACUCCGUGCCAACAACAGCGGUAAUAAGGAGGGUGCAAUUGUUAAUCGGAAUUACUGGGCGUAAAGCGCACGCAGGCGGUCUGUCAAGUCGGAUGUGAAAUCCCCGGGCUCAACCUGGGAACUGCAUUCGAAACUGGCAGGCUUGAGUCUUGUAGAGGGGGGUAGAAUUCCAGGUGUAGCGGUGAAAUGCGUAGAGAUCUGGAGGAAUACCGGUGGCGAAGGCGGCCCCCUGGACAAAGACUGACGCUCAGGUGCGAAAGCGUGGGGAGCAAACAGGAUUAGAUACCCUGGUAGUCCAAGCCGUAAACGAUGUCUACUUGCAGGUUGUGCCCUUGAGGCGUGGCUUCCGGAGCUAACGCGUUAAGUAGACCGCCUGGGCAGUACGGCAGCAAGGUUAAAACUCAAAUGAAUUGACGGGGGCCAGCACAAUGGUGCAGCAUGUGGUUUAAUUCGAUGCAAAGCGAAGAACCUUACCUGGUCUUGACAUCCACAGAANNNUCCAGAGAUGAAUUNGUGCCUUCGGGAACUGUGAGACAGGUGCUGCAUGGCUGUCGUCAACUCGUGUUGUGAAAUGUUGGGUUAAGUCCAACAAAGAGCGCAACCCUUAUCCUUUGUUGCCAACGAUUAGGUGGGGAACUCAAAGGAGACUGCCAGUGAUAAACUGCAGCAAGGUGGGGAUGACGUCAAGUCAUCAUGGCCCUUAAGACCAGGGCUACACAAGUGCUACAAUGGUGCAUACAAAGAGAAUUGACCUCGCGAGAGCAAGCGCACCUCAUAAAGUGCGUCGUAGUCCGCAUUGGAGUCUGCAACUCGACUCCAUGAAGUAGGAAUCGCUAGUAAUCGUGCAUCAGGGUGCCAAGGUGAAUAAGUUGGGGGGCCUUGUACACACCGCCCGUCACACCAUGGCAGUGGGUUGCAAAAGAAGUAGGUAGCUUAACCUUGGGCAGGGCGCUUACCACUUUGUGAUUCAUGACUGGGGUGAAG
rnacentral:rRNA from 1 species